rnacentral:lncRNA from 1 species
ACUCGUCUCACUUUAACUGGUCUCGAGUCAUCAACAACAUUCCCAGUCGCAAACAUUGAUUCACGUCUGUAAUUCUUCUGGUUUCGAGUCCCAUCUCCUAGAAAUAAACAAGAGGUUUCGAGUAUUAUUUCCGAGGUCUCGACUCCCAUCUUCCCAACUGUGUUUCAUUGGUCUCGAGUCACGGUUUCGACUCAAGGCUUCAAUUUCAACUGGUCUCGACUCACAAACAUUACAAAGGUCUCGACUCAUCUUCACCCAGGUCUCGACUCAUCAUAGUCUCGACUCCACAACUGCACUCAUCAUUUCCACUGUCACAACUUUCACGGUUUCGAGCCCUAUCUUCAAGGUUUCGAGUCACUAGUCUCGACUCAAAGGUGAUUCCGAGUCAUUGUUCAUCACAAGUUCACUGUCUCGAGUCAUAUUCAUCACUACAGCUCUCGACUCACCAUGCCAAGUCCGAUUUUUUCAGUCGCAAUCUACGAGUAGCAACCUUCACUGUUUCGAGUCAUCUCCAUUCCGUCAUCUUGUUUCGAGUUCCACGUCUCGAGCUAUCAUCCGUUUUCAAGCCCCUACGUUUUCGAUUCGUCAUCGUGGUCCACCGUUCAUCACCGUUAAACACACCAUCCUCAAUCACCGUCAUUCAUCGUCGUAACAACCAUCUUCUCUGGUCUUCUUUAGUUCUCCGACCACUCUGCCACUCCGGCCAAUCAUCAUCAUUUCCGGCGACUGUUGACUGUCAUCAUCAUCAUUGCGGCUGUAUUUAAUAUUAGGGUUUGGACGGCGGUUAAACGAUGAAGAAGAUCAGUGAUAUAAUAGAAAGUUUAUUUGGGUAGGAAGCCUAGGAAGUAAUCUUGACCAUCUAUUUAUUUAAUCAAGGGCUAAGAUUAAAUGAAUGAAAUUGAAGGAAAAAAAAGGAGGCGUGUGGGUUUGUUAGGGGCAUUCUAGUCAAUCUAACACAAUAGUUUCUCUCUCUUCCAAUUCCACCCCCCCCCCAUUUUUUAAACGUUAAUAACUUUUUCAUACCACAUUAUUUUUUUUUAUAAAAAUUGCACCAAAAAAAACGAGCGUUUUUUUAUCUUUAAAACGAGUAUACUAUUGCUAUAUUUUCAAGAAAAUUUUUUUGAAAACCUAGUUGCGUAAAACGCAAUAGAGAAAACCCAGUUGCAUAAA